CGUAGGGUGCGAGCGUUAAUCGGAAGUUACUGGGCGUAAAGCGUGCGCAGGCGGUUUGUAAGACAGAUGUGAAAUCCCCGGGCUCAACCUGGGACCUGCAUUUGUGACUGCAAGGCUAGAGUACGGUAGAGGGGGAUGGAAUUCCGCGUGUAGCAGUGAAAUGCGUAGAUAUGCGGAGGAACACCGAUGGCGAAGGCAAUCCCCUGGACCUGUACUGACGCUCAUGCACGAAAGCGUGGGGAGCAAACAGGAUUAGAUACCCUGGUAGUCCACGCCCUAAACGAUGUCAACUGGUUGUUGGGUCUUUACUGACUCAGUAACGAAGCUAACGCGUGAAGUUGACCGCCUGGGGAGUACGGCCGCAAGGUUG
rnacentral:rRNA from 1 species